GAGGGUAUAGUUCAGUGGUAGAGUGCCUGCCUAGCAUGCACAAGGUCCUGGGUUCAAUCUCCAGUACUUCCA
rnacentral:tRNA from 1 species